CCUACGGGUGGCAGCAGUGAGGAAUAUUGGUCAAUGGACGAGAGUCUGAACCAGCCAAGUAGCGUGAAGGAUGACUGCCCUAUGGGUUGUAAACUUCUUUUAUAUGGGAGUAAAAUGUUCCACGUGUGGGAGUUUGUAUGUACCCUAUGAAUAAGGAUCGGCUAACUCCGUGCCAGCAGCCGCGGUAAUACGGAGGAUUCGAGCGUUAUCCGGAUUUAUUGGGUUUAAAGGGAGCGUAGGUGGUUUGUUAAGUUAGUUGUGAAAGUUUGCGGCUCAACCGUAGAAUUGCAGUUGAAACUGGCAGUCUUGAGUACAGUAGCGGUGGGCGGAAUGCGUGGUGUAGCGGUGAAAGGCUUAGAGAUCACGAAGAACACCGAUUGCGAAGGCAGCUCACUGGACUGCAACUGACGCUGAGGCACGAAAGUGUGGGUAUCAAACAGGAUUAGAUACCCGAGUAGUC
rnacentral:rRNA from 1 species